AAACAGUUGCUGUGGGGAUUGAAUGACUAGUGCAUGUGAAGCUGCCAGUGUGGUGCCUGCCUCGGGGUUCAUCAAAAACAGGAAGUCAAAGGUCUGAAUACUCUUCCUGUGAAUCAACAGAGAAAGCUUUCUCAUCUGAGCCCAUGAAUACGCAGCCUAGGGCCACUGACUUGUAAGAAUGGAGAGUUGCAAGCUGGACCCUGGGGUAUCAGACAGGCAGAAUCCCUUGCAGCUAGAGUCAUGGAAGCGAAGAAGUUUCCACAAUUAGAUGUGCCUAUGCAAGAUUUGAAAAGAGGAAAUGUGACAAAAGGGCAGAGUUCUGCAGCUUUGACUACUUUUGCUGGCAUGCAAGGUCUUGAAGAUGCUGUGCUUUCCUGCAGCCAAAUUCUACUGUAUAGCCACAAGCUUCAUGAAAACCUUUGGAGUCAUUUUCUUUGGAGCGGGAGUUGGGAUGGUUUGCUGCAGACACCCAGAUGUUUGAUGCUAUGUCCUUUUAUCUUCACCUGCAUGAGGCCGCUUGAUAUUGAUCUCACUGCAGUCCUCACUACAUAGCUCAUUGGAGUCCACACCAUGGCUUCGUACGAGUGUGCACAUGCAGUCAAAGGCACCCUUAAUGCCUGCUGCUCUGCGUCCUUCGAUGUCUCCUGCUCAGCAGUCCAGCUAUUACAAGAGGCACAGAGCUGAGCAUAUUGCUUCAGACCCAGAAGAAUCUCCUCCAUCCCAAUUGGGUACAAUUGUGAAGGAAAUGUGUUGGAGGAAGUCACCUUCUGUGAGCUGCUUAUCCAUCAAGUUGCACUCUGUGUGGGUGUGUAUCCUUCCUAUCUUGGCUGUCUUAGGUCUCCAUAUCCUAGGCAGUAGCCGGGUCAGUAUUCCUUACCAUGCACAUUUGGGCAAUAGAGGUACUGGACAAUAUAGGUAAAUUCACAACCAAUUCUUUCCCUGCAUUUUCUCCAAAUCUGUGGACCAAAUCCUACUUACCCAUGGCCCUACAAAGUUGUCUUUCCUAUCAACACUAACACACCACACCUUGUUUCUCCUAACCUUCCCAGAAUUCCUUGAAGGCUUUCUGAUAUUUGAGGCUUGACAAAAUUUAUUCAUGCAUUGAUUAAGCAGCUAGGAUUUAUUAACCACUGUGAAACAGAAAUUUUGCCAGGCAAUGAAGAUAUUUAGUUGAGUAAGACAGUGCUUCUGUAUUCAAGAAGUCUACCUGUGACCUAUUUUAACUGUAUGUUUCCCUGAAUUUGGGGCAUUCGAAUGGUAUGUACUAAAUGUCUUAUUGGAUGGUUCAUCCUGGAGGAGCGGCUAAUGGAGGCUGGAGUCAAGCUAGGUGUCUGGGCUCAUGUCUACCUUCUUCUGAGUAUCAGAGGGCAGACUCUGAUGUUCUCAGAGAUAGAUGUUCUCAUAGUCUUCGGCUGGAGGAAAUGCCCUUGUUCAUGCCAUCUGUUGACCUGUAGCUACCAUGUAGACCUCUCUGAGGGCCUGUGGCUCAUCAGGAGAUCCGAUGGACACCUGAAUCUCAGAAAAACUGACCUAUGGCACUGUUGUGAUGCACAGGUAUAGGCACAUCUCAAAACAUACCCGUAAAUGUCCCAAGUUUGAAUAUUUUCAAAAUUAUAAGCUUGUAUAUAGCUUAUAUAUUUGCAUUGUAAUCCAUUUGUACAGUACCUAAUUCAAUGCGAGCAAUUACUAAUUUGGAAAUUGUACUGAUAUAAAUAAUUCCUCUCUUUAUUGCAUGUAACACUGUGUCAGUGAUAUAAAAGCUAUGUGUGUAUAUAUAUACAUAUAUAUAAUAUACAGAUGUAUUGAAAUAACUUUUCUAUUUGUAAACAUAAUGGAAUUACUGUAGAAUAUCACCCUCAAGGGAAGGAAGAAAUACAUGUGAGCACUUUCAGGGUAGUUUGCCUGCAUCUGAGCAGUUGUAGAUACUUUGGUGGUAUAACUGGUGAUGAAGAAGAAGGAGGGAAGUUGCAGAGGAAAGAAGCUUGGAGAUGUUUGGGAUAGCUUUUUUAAUUUUCACUGGAGUCGAUUGUGCUAGGGCUUGGUUUUGAGGAUCUGUGGGUAAAUGCUGAGAGGGGUGGGUGCAGUUGCCUAGGCACAAAUAUCUGAAUAGAGCAGAUAUGGAUGAGUGGUUCAGGGGAGGAAAUAUUAUCUGCCUUCUUUUCAUUCUGCUUCAUGCUAGGCAGGGCAAUGAUGAUUGGUUUUCAUUCAGCUUGUGCUCCAAGAGUACCUCAGAAAAUGGGGAGCCAUUUUUCCCCAGUUUUGGUUUUUAGAGGUUUAUAUCCCCAACUGGCUAUGGUUGGCUGGCAGCCUUUAGCUUCAGUGUAGCCACACAUGAUUUCACGUCGUCUGUACAUUCUUCGGCAGGAACCUGCUCCUUUUACUUCCAGUGGACACAGAGCACUUCAGCUAUGGGCAUCCAUAACUACUUCCUCCUGGAUCUGAGGCUUUCUUGGCUCUGAGAGCUUCCUGGGUUUGCUGACCUCACCCCUGUGAGGAGGAGGAUUGGCCCGGCUGCUGAAAACAUACGUGUAAUUGAAGGAAUUCUAUUAAG
ensembl:lncRNA LINC00598 long intergenic non-protein coding RNA 598